ensembl:lncRNA
UCAAGACGGUUGCCCAGGGUGGCCCCUCCUGCUCCCCUUGGGAACACAGUGUAUUUGGACUCAGCAGCCAGGGAAACUGCACUGCCAGCCAGGCAGCAAACUCAGCUGAGGAAAAUUAGUCCUCAUCAGGCAACAGACCCCACUUAGAAACAGAACUGGCACGUCGAAUGACUUGAGCCUGCCGCCUGUCGGGGGAUUUACCAUCCACCUGAUCCAGCUCGUGAAAUAAUUUCCCUGAUUCAGCUUUCAAGUCCCAGCCUGCCCUCGUCCCAUCUUGUCCCACAUCCAGACGAGCCAUGAGAAAGCCCUGGCUCUCCCUCCCCUGGUGCCAGGGAGAAGUUCUAAGCCUGCAGCUCUGCGUGUGGGAAUCUUCAGCCCAGCUCCACCCCUAAGUGCAAUAAAACCCAAAGCCAGUUGCCCCGGCUUGCUCUCUCAAGCCAUCUUUGGACCUGCCUGAGAGUCUGCCCCGCUCCCUCCAGAAAGCCUCAUCCUGUGACUAACGAAUCUCUGCACCCUUUCUUGGUGCCUGUGUGGGGGAGGGGAGCGGGUGGAUGUCACCCUGCUGUGCCAUCGUAAGACAGAAAUUCUUGAGAUCAGGCAGACCUCCUCAAAAGUCAACAGGCAUAACUGAGGGAAGUUCAGACACUCAGUCAAGACCUGUGAUUCGGCUCCUGGUUAGAAGAUAAAUGGAAUGAACUAGAAGCUCGCUAAUUUCACAACUUCUACACCCAUCACUACAUCACUACGUUAAAUUCCCACCAUUUACUCUUGACAGUCCUGCUAACAUAUAUCAAAAAAAGGAAUUCAAACAAGAAAAAUGCUGUCUGUGCGCAGAUGACUUAUUCUAUUAGCACUACUUGAGCAUGAAAUAAAUGGAAGCUCCUGAGAUAGCUAACUCUAAAGAGGAAAACGAGUAAAAUAUUAUUUCAUUAAAAAAAUAGAAUAAUUUACCACUAUCCAAAUAUCAUAAUUACGGUGACUGAAUUAAAUGGAAGAGUGCUUACUUUGUUAGACUGGACAUUACAUUGCAAAUAUUCAACCUGUUUUGACUUAGAGGGCUGUCAGUUUCAUGGGGUUCAAACUUAAAGUUUGUGGAAAAAGCGGGACGCUGCAGUCUUCACUGUCAUUGCAGUGGGAAACUGUGAUGUGAUUUUACGUAUGUUUGUGAACAAAGGCGGGAGAGGAAAUAGCAAAAUGGAGAUGUCAACUGUUUGGUUCAAUAGUAGUUGGAAUUUUUCCUCAGAAAAAGUGUCUGUUCCUUUAUUGUAUAUUAUUCUCCAUUUAAAAAAGAUGUAUUCAUUAUAUAACUGCCAUUUGGAAAAGGAUUAACAUGCCACUUUGUAUCCCAUUUAUGUGGGCUGCAUGGGUUAUUGAGUGCUUUCCCUGCUCAAAUCCUUUUGGCAUUAGGAGGUAGAGAGAAAACUCUUAAAGUUUGUAAUUCACCAUCGACAUGAGGUCAGCGAGCAGAGAACGCAGCUGAGAGAGUUGAAUGUCCAUGAGGAAUAAUAAAAUGUGUAUCUGGUGACCUCAUUGACGGAUUGUGCUAGAAACUGGCUUAGAUGCUCAGCGACACUUUUCUCUUUCUGGCCUCCCGGGAGGACAGCAUAGCCCAGACUCCCAUGUGUUUAACUUGGAUCAUGCAAAUAACUUGUUGCCGUUGGAAAAUGAGAAGUAACUGUGAAAUCGUGUCUUCGUCAGGCUUCCUCACGUGGGCUCCUUCCUGGGGAGGGGGGCUUCUUGUUCCUCAGGGGUUCCAGUUUUCCCACCUCCCCUGGAUUUAGUCCUCUGUUGGGGUUGCAGGCUCACAUGAUGGCCAGACAGUGUCUUCAUUAGGGUGGGAUUUAGUGACCCUGAACCACUGGCCGUCAGGCUGGUCGUCUCCUGUUCACACAUUUGGGCCUGGGUCUGGCUGCCAUCAUGGCCAGAAGGGAGGCAGGGGCAGGUGCUGCCCUGGUUCCUGAGACUAAGACAUGGAUAACAGCCUGUCAGCUUACGUCACAAUCUUGAAAACAUGUUGACUACACUCUCCACUUUUGCCUGAGGGUGAUACCAACCCUGAUAUCAGUUUCCUCACAUUAAACCCAGCAUACAUGGAGUUAAAACCAAAACCCUCAUUCCCUGCUUACUCCCUGGCUUCCUGGCUCCAGAAUCCACUAUCUUCCAUGGAGACAGACACCGUCAAGGACAAGCACCUGGAUUCAUUAUCUCCUCCCCACAAAGAGAUACAGGCUGGUGGGAAAGUUGCUGACCAGCAAGGUCAUGGGCUCCCUCCUCUCUGCAAGUGUCUCAAGGCCAAAGACAGGCUGGUAGGAAAGUUCUGACCAGCAAGGCUAUACACUCCCUCUCCCCUACCUAAAACCCCAAAUAAAAACCCUUCCCGGACAUGGCACCGCUCGUCAGGCCACGUUGAAGUGGCAUCCCAUAUCCCACAACUAGAAGGACCUGCAACUAAGAUACACAACUGUGUGUGUGUGGGGGCGGG